rnacentral:lncRNA from 1 species
AUUUAACCUAUAAUUUGUAUACUCUUUACUGUUUUUUAAUAAUGGACAUGGGAAAGACACUAACGUUACUUUAUAUGGAGCCUUCAUAGCUGUGAUGAUUAAUUUUAUGUGUCAAUAUGACUAGAUCAUGGACUGCCCAGAGACUUGACUAAAUAUGAUUUCAGGAUAUGCCUGUGAGGGUGUUUCUGGAUGACAUUGGCAUUUGAAUUGGUGCACUCAGUAACACCGAUGGCAUUAUCCAUCAGUUGAGGGCCUGAAUAAAACAAGACGUGGAAGAAGGAGGAAUUCACCCUUUUUGCUUCCUGUCUGACUACUUGAGCUGGGCGUUAGCCUUUUCUUAUCUUUGGACUGAGACUCACACCAUUGGCUUCUCUGCUUUUCAGGCCCUUGGAUUCAGACUGAAUUGACAUCGCCAGGUUUCCUGUAUUUUCAGCUUGCAGGCAGCUGACUGUGGGACUUCUCAGCCUCCUUAAUCAUGUUUAUUCUAUACUGAGGAGGACGAAACUCCAAAAGUUCAGGAUCACAAGCUCUUCAGCAGGAACUCACCCCUGUUUUCUUCAACAGCCUUCCGUACUGAUCUUUGGUCCUCCUUAAAACUGAUUUUAUCGGAGAUGCAUAGAAUGGUGGAUCUAUGAGGUUAGUUCAAUUCUUUCACUUACUCGUGAAGAAUUAAGUCAAGAGAAAUCACAUGCAAAAGAUCAUGCCUUAAGUGAAUAAUUGAAUUAAGAAUGAAAUGUGAAGUAUUUGGUUCCUGAAACUCUAGUUUGGUCAAU